UACGAAGGGGGCUAGCGUUGCUCGGAAUCACUGGGCGUAAAGGGUGCGUAGGCGGGUCUUUUAAGUCAGGGGUGAAAUCCUGGAGCUCAACUCCAGAACUGCCUUUGAUACUGAGGAUCUUGAGUUCGGGAGAGGUGAGUGGAACUGCGAGUGUAGAGGGUGAAAUUCGUAGAUAUUCGCAAGAACACCAGUGGCGAAGGCGCUCACUGGCCCGAUACUGACGCUGAGGCACGAAAGCGUGGGGGAGCAAACAGG
rnacentral:rRNA from 1 species